UUGGAGGGCAAGUCUGGUGCCAGCAGCCGCGGUAAUUCCAGCUCCAAUAGCGUAUAUUAAAGUUGUUGCAGUUAAAAAGCUCGUAGUUGAAUUUCGGGGUUCUUCCGUUGGUCAGGCUAACCAGUCUGUACUAGCGUUUAGAAUUCCUACCUUCUGGGGAACCAUCAUGUUAUUAAUUUAGCGUGGUGGGAAACCAGGACCUUUACCUUGAAAAAAUUAGAGUGUUCAAAGCAGGCUUACGUCUGAAUACAUUAGCAUGGAAUAAUAAAAUAGGACGGUGGUCCUGUUUUGUUGGUUUCUGAAUCACCGUAAUGAUUAAUAGGGAUAGUUGGGGGCAUUAGUAUUCAAUUGUCAGAGGUGAAAUUCUUGGAUUUAUUGAAGACUAACUUCUGCGAAAGCAUUUGCCAAGGAUGUUUUCAUUAAUCAAGAACGAAAGUUAGGGGAUCGAAGACGAUCAGAUACCGUCGUAGUCUUAACCAUAAACUAUGCCGACUAGGGAUCGGACGAUGUUAAAUUUUAUUGACUCGUUCGGCGCCUUACGGGAAAC
rnacentral:rRNA from 1 species